rnacentral:rRNA from 1 species
UACGGAGGGUGCAAGCGUUAAUCGGAAUUACUGGGCGUAAAGCGCACGCAGGCGGCUUUUUAAGUCGGAUGUGAAAGCCCCGGGCUCAACCUGGGAAUUGCAUUCGAUACUGGGAAGCUAGAGUAUGUGAGAGGGGGGUAGAAUUCCAAGUGUAGCGGUGAAAUGCGUAGAGAGUUGGAGGAAUACCAGUGGCGAAGGCGGCCCCAUGGCACACUACGGAAGCUCAGGUGAGAAAGCGUGGGGAGCAAACAGGCUUCGAUAACAGCGGAGUCC